UGGGGAAUAUUGCACAAUGGGGGAAACCCUGAUGCAGCGACGCCGCGUGAGCGAAGAAGGUUUUCGAAUCGUAAAGCUCUGUCCUAUGAGAAGAUAAUGACGGUAUCAUAGGAGGAAGCCCCGGCUAAAUACGUGCCAGCAGCCGCGGUAAUACGUAGGGGGCUAGCGUUGUCCGGAAUUAUUGGGCGUAAAGCGCGCGCAGGCGGUCACUUAAGUCCAUCUUAGAAGUGCGGGGCUUAACCCCGUGAUGGGAUGGAAACUGGGAGACUGGAGUAUCGGAGAGGAAAGUGGAAUUCCUAGUGUAGCGGUGAAAUGCGUAGAUAUUAGGAAGAACACCGGUGGCGAAGGCGACUUUCUGGACGAAAACUGACGCUGAGGCGCGAAAGCGUGGGGAGCAAACAGG
rnacentral:rRNA from 1 species